rnacentral:lncRNA from 1 species
CCAGGGACAGAUCUCCACCCUCGCUCCGGCUGGAGAUCUGAAACCCCUUCAGGUACGUCCUCGAAUCCACAGGCGCCGAGGUGUGUGUCACAUUGGGCUCCACGUGACCUGGGCGGUCCCACACUCGUGUCCAUCACCUGUGAAGUGGGGGCAGCUGGAAGCCGGGAACACUGCCCCGGGGCUGGACUGGAUUUCCCUAAAGAGGCUGGUGUUCCGGCAGCAGCAUGAGACAAGGACACAUGCACUCAUCUCUCCUGGUGACCAUGAGAGGCUGACUCCAGAUUUGGAUCCUGUCUGGUGUGGUCAGUGUGCAGCACUUGGGGGCAAAGCAGCCAGGAACCAGGAAGAGGCUGCAGCUUUGCUGAGUUUUCAUGAUGGUUCACUUCACCGUGGUGACGUGUUUGCAGAAGGCAGAGUCUUCGCAGAUGUAAUCAAGGAUUUUGAGGUGAGUUGACUCACUAGAUUAACCGGGUGAGCCCUAAACGCCAUCACAAAUGCUCCUGUAAGACAGAGGCAAAGAGAGCUAACACCUGGAGGAGGUGGCCAGGUGAGGAGGGAGGUAGAAA